UAAUAUAUAAGGCUGAUGACAAUAAGCCGAUUAGACAACUAAGUAAAGUUUCAUCUUAAUUUUUCCGACCUACUUCUUUGAUAUCAAAUUCUUCUUAUUGUUAAACAACAGUUAUAUCAUCUUCGACACUCAAAGGAACAAAAAACACCAACACAACCAAUUUCACAUAAGGGAAAAAGUUAUGUGAUUUUGACACUCAAAGGAAGGAAAAGCACCAACACAAUCAAUUUCAGAAGGAAAACAGUUCAAGCAUUGCUUCAAUAAUGGAGCCACAACGUGUCUCAGGAGACGAGACAACUGAUGGUAACUUAGUUUUUACUUUUCGUUGGAAUGCUAUCCGACGCGUUUAUGAAAUGUAUCAACAUCGGAGAGAUGACAACCAAUCUCAGAUCAGUGAGGAGUGGGACCUGCGCAUUUAUUCCCACGAUGGAAACUACAUUUUCCGCGAAAACAACAACAACAACAACAAUCAGAGCAAGUUAUUUGGAAGAGAAAAUAUCACAAGAAUUAAGAUUGAAGAAGGAGCGCCAUAUUUUGAGAAAGACUUGAUAUGUUCCAUAUGUCUUGACGAGCUUCCAGUUGGAUCAGAAGUGAUUCAAUUGCCUGUCCCCUGUUGUCAUGUUUAUCAUGAAGAGUGCAUUAUGAGGUGGUUGGAUAUGUCUAACAUUUGCCCCUUGUGUCGUAGGCCAGUCUCGUAAAGUUUCCUCCAUUCAUCUCUAAACUUCCUAUUCCAUAAAACUAUAGACUUAAUUUUAUGUAUGCGCCCAAAUUAUUCUUGUGAACUUGGCUUAUGUAAAUAUUGUCAGUAUGUAUGAUUUGAUUUUUUCUUCCCUUUUAUAUUUUG